rnacentral:lncRNA from 1 species
UUUCUGAGGGACUCUGCGUAUUAAGUUUCAAUUACUUAGAGUCUCCCAUCUAAGUCCCCAAAAGGAAAUGAACUGCUUCUAUAGUUGUCACAGAAAACCAGUUACUUUUUUUUUUUUUUUUUUUUAAUCUUUCCCAGUCUCUGUUUUGUCAGUCAAGUUUCAGGAAGUUAAACUAAGAGUUAAACCUAAGGUUCUUUAUCUUUCCCAGUCUCUGUUUUGUCAGUCAAGUUUCAGGAAGUUAAACUAAGAGUUAAACCUAAGGUUCUCUGGGGUCUCAUCUGUAAGAAACUCAUCUAUUUCUUCUACAAUCCAAACUCCAAAGACAAAGUCAAAAAUGAAAAGCAUAAGAAGCAAAUCAUAAUGCUGAAGAAAAUAGUGUUUGUCUUUUUCCCUUCAAUAUUUAAAUCUCAUGUUAUGGAGAAUGCUGUCAGCAGAGAACCCAGCAUUUCCUGCUCUGAUGGUCUCCAUGCUCUUUCCUUCUUUUCUGAAGACUGCUGCUUCAGGACCACGGAAUAGGAUGUGUUGGUUCCCAGGGCAAUGUAGCAAACGGAGGUCCCGCCCAGACAGGCAGGAUGUGCAGCAGUUUCUGCCGACCGCGGCCGUCGCAGCUGCUGUGGUGCCUUUCUGCUAAGACAGCGAGCAGUGUCUGUUUGAAGUCUGUUCUUUGGAAAGGAGACCCAAGAGAACUUGAGCUGGGCUUGUCUGGAUAUCAAAGUCCAGAUUAAAAAUUUAUUCUAGUGUUUGAAAAAUUCCUGGCCAAAACCUUCAUAUGGAUUUAAAAAAUACAAACUCCCUGCUUUCUUCACUGUCUCCGAUUGAGGACGAGAGGAUUUAUUUCUAAAAAGAAAAAAUGAAAGCGAGGCCGAAUAGUUCCAUAAAAGAGCUCAGGUCAGACGGCCUUUUAGCUAAAUCUGUAAGAAAAGUAAUAUGUUAAACCACUUUGGGCAACUGGGAAGCACUUGUAUUAGUUAUCAUUUGUGAAUCUUUGUUUUUCCCCUUUCCUAUUGCAUGUCGGAUCACCUGGCUCUUUUUGCUGGAUGUAAAGGGUGAAGAAAGAGAAAGAGUUUCUAUUCCGUAUCCCAUACUCCUACCCCAUUAGACAGAAAAGUAGAGGAGAAAGCUUUGUUUAAAAGUUGUGAUAUUGGGAGGGAAAAAAAAGAUUGCCAAGCAAGCAGAUAAUGUAAUAGUAAUUAUGAAAUUAUUGAUAAAAAGAACAUAAAAAUCAUUAGGCCAAAACAGAAAAAAAUUAAGGAAAGAGUGAACAUUUAAGCAAUAAAAUUAAACCAAGGCCAUUAACAAAAUAUACAGAAGAAGUAGAACUACCUGACAUGGGACAUUAUUAGUGAAAUGUGAUUUUGGUUGUUGUUGUUGUUGUUAUUGUUUUUGUUUGUUUGUUUGUUUGUUUGAGAUGAAGUCUCUCUCCGUCACCCAGGCUGGAGUGCAAUGGCAUGAUCUCUGCUCACUGCAACCUCUGCCUUCUGGACUCAAGCGAUUGUCUUGCCUCAGCCUCCCAAGCAGCUGGGAUUAUAGGUGCCCACCACCACACCCAGCUAAUUUUUUUUGCAUUUUUAGUAGAGAUGGGGUUUCACCAUGUUGACCAGGCUGGUUUCAAACUCCUGACCUCAAAUGAUCCACCCACCUCGGCCUCGCAAAGUGCUGGGAUUACAGGCGUGAGCCACCAUGCCCAGCUGUGAAAUGCUGAAAUAGAAGUUGAGAAUGAGAAAUUAGCUCCAAGGGCAAAACAACUAGAUGAAGGAUCAGGAUGAAUAUAUCAAGUUUAGAUUGAAAGCAAAGGGCUGAAUAGAAGAAAGUGAUAGAACCAUGUCAACAGACAGAAGCAAUGGCAACUAUGAAGGCAGACAGCCCCAGAACUACAAAGACACAAAGCAGCCUGCAAAAAUGAAUGCUAAGCCUUAAAUGAAUUCAUACAGAUCCUCUGGUAAAGGGUUUUUGCUAUUGUGGUUGUUUUGAUAAACUUCAUAAUUUGAAGUAUAACUAAGAUACCUAGCAUUAGUGUACAGUUUGAUUAAUUUUUCAGAGUGAACACACCCACGUGACCACCAUUCGGACCUGGCCAUGGAAUAAUGCCAUUACUGUAAGGCUACCAUCUUUACUCCCACAUUCCAAGAGUGACCCCUCUUUGGACAGCCAUCAGUAUAGAUUAGUUUUGUCUGUCAUUGAAGGUCCAUAGAGUCAUACAAUAUUUUUUCAUUUCUUCCUUCACUCAACAUUAUAAUUUUUAUCCAUACUGUUGCACAUAGUGGUAGUUUGUUUAUUUUCAGUGCUAUAUAGUAUUCCAUUGUAUAUAUGCCAUAAUGAACACCUUUCUCCUGUUGAUUGAUAGACAUUUGUGUUGCUUCUAGGCUCUGGCUAGUCGAAAUAGCACUGCUAUGAAUAUUCUUGUGCGUGACUUUUGAUGCC